AGCAAUGUGACGAGUGGCGCACGGGUGAGUAACGCUUUUAUGGCAUACCUUUAACUGGCGAAUAGCCUUGGGAAACUGUUAGUAAUACGCCAUAACAUUGUAGCUUGGCAUCAGGCAGCAAUUAAAGUUCCGGCGGUUAGAGAUUGAUGUGCGUUGGAUUAGAUAGUUGGUGAGGUAACGGCUCACCAAGUCAACGAUCCAUAGGGGGCGUGAGAGCGUGGUCCCCCACACGGGUACUGAGACACGGACCCGACUCCUACGGGAGGCAGCAGUAAGGAAUAUUGGUCAAUGGGGGCAACCCUGAACCAGCCAUGCCGCGUGCGGGAUGAAGGCGUUCUGCGUCGUAAACCGCUUUUAGAGGGGAAUAAAUCCCGAUACGUGUAUCGGACUGAAGGUACCCUCGGAAUAAGCACCGGCUAACUCCGUGCCAGCAGCCGCGGUAAUACGGAGGGUGCAAGCGUUAUCCGGAAUCACUGGGUUUAAAGGGUGCGUAGGCGGUUUUGUAAGUCGGUAUUGAAAGUCUGCAG
rnacentral:rRNA from 1 species